rnacentral:tRNA from 1 species
UGAGUAUAAUUUAACAAAAAUACUGGACAGUGACCCCAGAAAUAAGGCAAUGCCUUUACUCACC